rnacentral:rRNA from 1 species
UGCUCCCGGAUGUUAGCGGCGGACGGGUGAGUAACACGUGGGUAACCUGCCUGUAAGACUGGGAUAACUCCGGGAAACCGGAGCUAAUACCGGAUAGUUCCUUGAACCGCAUGGUUCAAGGAUGAAAGACGGUUUCGGCUGUCACUUACAGAUGGACCCGCGGCGCAUUAGCUAGUUGGUGAGGUAACGGCUCACCAAGGCGACGAUGCGUAGCCGACCUGAGAGGGUGAUCGGCCACACUGGGACUGAGACACGGCCCAGACUCCUACGGGAGGCAGCAGUAGGGAAUCUUCCGCAAUGGACGAAAGUCUGACGGAGCAACGCCGCGUGAGUGAUGAAGGUUUUCGGAUCGUAAAGCUCUGUUGUUAGGGAAGAACAAGUGCAAGAGUAACUGCUUGCACCUUGACGGUACCUAACCAGAAAGCCACGGCUAACUACGUGCCAGCAGCCGCGGUAAUACGUAGGUGGCAAGCGUUGUCCGGAAUUAUUGGGCGUAAAGGGCUCGCAGGCGGUUUCUUAAGUCUGAUGUGAAAGCCCCCGGCUCAACCGGGGAGGGUCAUUGGAAACUGGGAAACUUGAGUGCAGAAGAGGAGAGUGGAAUUCCACGUGUAGCGGUGAAAUGCGUAGAGAUGUGGAGGAACACCAGUGGCGAAGGCGACUCUCUGGUCUGUAACUGACGCUGAGGAGCGAAAGCGUGGGGAGCGAACAGGAUUAGAUACCCUGGUAGUCCACGCCGUAAACGAUGAGUGCUAAGUGUUAGGGGGUUUCCGCCCCUUAGUGCUGCAGCUAACGCAUUAAGCACUCCGCCUGGGGAGUACGGUCGCAAGACUGAAACUCAAAGGAAUUGACGGGGGCCCGCACAAGCGGUGGAGCAUGUGGUUUAAUUCGAAGCAACGCGAAGAACCUUACCAGGUCUUGACAUCCUCUGACAACCCUAGAGAUAGGGCUUUCCCUUCGGGGACAGAGUGACAGGUGGUGCAUGGUUGUCGUCAGCUCGUGUCGUGAGAUGUUGGGUUAAGUCCCGCAACGAGCGCAACCCUUGAUCUUAGUUGCCAGCAUUCAGUUGGGCACUCUAAGGUGACUGCCGGUGACAAACCGGAGGAAGGUGGGGAUGACGUCAAAUCAUCAUGCCCCUUAUGACCUGGGCUACACACGUGCUACAAUGGACAGAACAAAGGGCUGCGAGACCGCAAGGUUUAGCCAAUCCCACAAAUCUGUUCUCAGUUCGGAUCGCAGUCUGCAACUCGACUGCGUGAAGCUGGAAUCGCUAGUAAUCGCGGAUCAGCAUGCCGCGGUGAAUACGUU